AGUAAUGCAUAGGAAUCUGCCCAGUAGUAUGGGAUAGCCACUAGAAAUGGUGGGUAAUACUGUAUACGCCCUGCGGGGGAAAGAUUUAUCGCUACUGGAUGAGCCUAUGUUAGAUUAGCUAGUUGGUAGGGUAAAGGCCUACCAAGGCAGUGAUCUAUAGCUGGUCUGAGAGGAUGAUCAGCCACACUGGAACUGAGAUACGGUCCAGACUCCUACGGGAGGCAGCAGUGGGGAAUAUUGGACAAUGGGCGCAAGCCUGAUCCAGCUAUGCCGCGUGAGUGAGGAAGGCCUUAGGGUUGUAAAACUCUUUCAGCGGGGAAGAUAAUGACGGUACCCGCAGAAGAAAGUCCCGGCAAACUCCGUGCCAGCAGCCGCGGUAAUACGGAGGGGGCAAGCGUUGUUCGGAAUUAUUGGGCGUAAAGGGCAUG
rnacentral:rRNA from 1 species